rnacentral:rRNA from 1 species
ACGCUAGCGGGAUGCCUUACACAUGCAAGUCGAACGGCAGCACGGACUUCGGUCUGGUGGCGAGUGGCGAACGGGUGAGUAAUGUAUCGGAACGUGCCCAGUAGCGGGGGAUAACUACGCGAAAGCGUAGCUAAUACCGCAUACGCCCUUCGGGGGAAAGCAGGGGAUCGCAAGACCUUGCACUAUUGGAGCGGCCGAUAUCGGAUUAGCUAGUUGGUGAGGUAAUGGCUCACCAAGGCCGCGAUCCGUAGCUGGUUUGAGAGGACGACCAGCCACACUGGGACUGAGACACGGCCCAGACUCCUACGGGAGGCAGCAGUGGGGAAUUUUGGACAAUGGGGGAAACCCUGAUCCAGCCAUCCCGCGUGUGCGAUGAAGGCCUUCGGGUUGUAAAGCACUUUUGGCAGGAAAGAAACGGCGCGUGCUAAUACCAUGCGCAACUGACGGUACCUGCAGAAUAAGCACCGGCUAACUACGUGCCAGCAGCCGCGGUAAUACGUAGGGUGCAAGCGUUAAUCGGAAUUACUGGGCGUAAAGCGUGCGCAGGCGGUUCGGAAAGAAAGAUGGUGAAAUCCCCAGGGCUCCACCUUGGAACUGCUUUUUUACA